GGUGAAACGAACAGGAACCCAUACACGGAGUGGAGUUGUUUGGACUCUGAAUAUAUUUGCCUCGAGAGAAUGUUACAAACGAGCAAGGCCGCGUCAAGACAAAGAGUAAUACAAGAGUACAGAAAAGUCUCGUAAUCACGGGAUGACAGUGAGAAAUAUAUUUGGGGCUAGUCAACUCAUGGGCGUCGCAGAUUUGACAAAAAGUGCAGUCAUUGCUUUCAUUGACCAACGAUUCGAAUGUUGGGGCAUGGUUAGAAACAGGAAGAUAAAAUAAAUUACUUCCGUGUUUUUAUCUAAAUAAGAGUUUGUGUUAAAUCGAGCCGAACCUAACGGCCAGCUUCCCCAUAAGGCCACCUCUGUACAGCAGCCACAUGUUAUCGUCCCAGUUGGGAGAUUUGCUCUUAUUUUAACCUCCCAACAAUGGCUACCUCUCCACAUUGGCCAGUAAACUCUGUACCCUGGGUGGCCGUUGUAGAAAGGUAUGACCGGCUGUAUAUGCAGGAUUCAACACUUUCAUUUAACCCGAAUUAGCCAACUUGACGGUCGUCACGCAGUACUUCCAGGAUUGCGUGAUAAACUCAAAGAAAGUCUCCGACAAAAUUUCACACAGAUCAACAAACGUCUGAAACAGAUGAAAUAAAAUCUUUAUUGCCUACUUUUAUAAUUCAAAUUCAUUGGCUUAAAAUAUUUACAUACACAUUACAGCAUCUUAAACCAUUAAGUCCUGUAAGGAAAUUUAUCGUGAAAAGUCGCAACAACAGUACAUAUAGUACCCGCAUCCAAAAAGACAACAUGCACGACCCCCGUUACUAUGUACAAAUCAAGGAAUCAACCCUCAGAGGAUAAUGAAGACAUGCUACGACACAAGUACAAGAUUUCUAAUACACUUAAAUAUGCAAGAUCCUCUUAACAGUAAAUUGUUUAAAAAUGGUCUCUUUAAAACUAAUUCUCGAUAAAAACAAGCACAGAAAGAUGAUUCAACAACCCAUAAGUUUCAUCUCAUUCGUAAUUUGAGAGUUCUUUUCUGUUUUAUCUUUUUUGUUCAAGGGAGUGGAGGGGGGGGGGNUGGGUAAACUACAGUAGGAAAAAUUGCUAACAUGAUCCGAGAGUCAACUAGACUUCUCUUUUAAUUUUAAUAUUUACAGGACUAAGAAAGAUUUUCACUGUGAAGUCCUGAUGCCAACAAAAAAAAAUCCUUACUUUCCUUCAUAAUUAUUUUUUAAGAAAAAGUUGGCAUGGGAAAAAUUUGAUCAUAUAUUAAGACACUAUCCUUUUGAUGAUCAGUUGAUUGAUUCUCCUGGCCUGAAUGCUUCACUUUGUAAUGAUGUUGUAAGGAGAAAUUGCAUGAUGAUCACUAAUCCAGUUGAACAUUUUGCAGUCACACCCUUGGUGUAGCCAAUGCCAAUUUUUGAAGAAA